AUUGAACGCUGGCGGCAGGCCUAACACAUGCAAGUCGAACGAGUGGCGGACGGGUGAGUAAUGUCUGGGAAACUGCCUGAUGGAGGGGGAUAACUACUGGAAACGGUAGCUAAUACCGCAUACUAUCGGAUGUGCCCAGAUGGGAUUAGCUAGUAGGUGUGGUAACGGCUCACGUAGGCGACGAUCCCUAGCUGGUCUGAGAGGAUGACCGGCCACACUGGAACUGAGACACGGUCCAGACGCCUACGGGAGGCAGCAGUGGGGAAUAUUGCGCAAUGGGCGCAAGCCUGAUGCAGCCAUGCCGCGUGUAUGAAGAAGGCCUUCGGGUUGUAAAGUACUUGCAGCGGGGAGGCGUUACCCGCAGAAGAAGCACCGGCUAACGCCGUGCCAGCCGCCGCGGUAAUAC
rnacentral:rRNA from 1 species